rnacentral:rRNA from 1 species
UACGUAGGGGGCAAGCGUUGUCCGGAUUUAUUGGGCGUAAAGAGCGUGUAGGCGGCCAGGCAGGUCCGUUGUGAAAACUCGAGGCUCAACCUCGAGACGCCGGUGGAAACCGUAAGGCUAGAGUCCGGAAGAGGAGAGUGGAAUUCCUGGUGUAGCGGUGAAAUGCGCAGAUAUCAGGAAGAACACCCGUGGCGAAGGCGGCUCUCUGGGACGGUACUGACGCUGAGGCGCGAAAGCGUGGGGAGCGAACAGG